UACGAAGGGGGCUAGCGUUGCUCGGAAUCACUGGGCGUAAAGCGCACGUAGGCGGCUUUCUAAGUCAGGGGUGAAAUCCUGGAGCUCAACUCCAGAACUGCCUUUGAUACUGGGAGCUCGAGUCCGGAAGAGGUGAGUGGAACUGCGAGUGUAGAGGUGAAAUUCGUAGAUAUUCGCAAGAACACCAGUGGCGAAGGCGGCUCACUGGUCCGGUACUGACGCUGAGGUGCGAAAGCGUGGGGAGCAAACAGG
rnacentral:rRNA from 1 species